UUUCCCUAGUAACUAGUUACUUUGAAAGUAACGAGUAACUUGAAGUAACUGAGUUACUUUUUUAGAGAAGUAACUAGUAAUGUAACUAAGUUACUAAUUUAAAGUAACUUACCCAACACUAAUGAAGACUACUUUAGGAUCGCCGUUGUGACAGAGAACGAGAUCUGUGCUGGCUUCGAGGCUGGAGGCAUUGAUCCAUGUCAGUUUGACAUAGGGGGACCGCUCAUGACCAAAAAAGAGUCAGUCUGGGUCCAGAAUGGACUUCUCAGUUAUACCUUAUGUGGUAUUUUGGGAAGACCUUCAGUGUUCACUCGUGUAUCCCAGUACCACAAAUGGAUCAGCGACACAGUCACAGGGACUCCACCAGGCUUUGUUCCUGUCACCACCCCAGGCAGUUCAACAUCACCAACCACUAAACUCACCACUCUCCCUACAACUUCCCACAAUAUGUGACAACAUGUUUGACAGUGAUGAAAACCUGAUCUACUUCACUCAUUUCUCUUCAGUCUGCAUUCUUGUUGUUUUACUGCACAUAUGUGCUAGAGCUGGUAAAAUGUAGAUCAACACAUUUGCUCUGUUCCAUAAUUACAUGCAAACAUGAAAAAUGUUAAACAGUUUGCCCCUUUUUUUUCCUUUCAUGAAAUGUAUGAUUUUAAGGUGAAUGUUAUACUUUUUACUCCACACUUUAAAUAAAAACUUUUCAUAUUUUUUAUUACCAAAUUAAAUUCACUUCAUCAAUGAAUCCGAGAGAACAUUUCUCCCAGAUUAACACUGUGGGGUCUGUACCUUACAAAGAGACACCAUUUGUUGACUGUUAAGCUGUGUUAUAUGAAUAAAACUGAACAGAUCUAAAGAAAGCGUUUCUAAAAUUUUAUUUUAUUAGAACAGAACAGAUGGAUGACCACAGCCAUCUCAGGUUAUAAUACAUAAAUCAAAUGGACAUAAUAAAUAAUAAAUCAAGGUGUUUCACAGACAGGUGGUCAAAACUUCAGAUACAAAAACAAUUGUUUCUAAGCUUGUAUUAUCUCCAGCAUUACUUUGGUAUGACCAGGCUCUAACACCAAAGAACACCUUACGUAUGACUGACACACCAGAAGCAUCUGACAGAACUUGGGGUCCUUCAGACACUUAAAUCCUUAAAGUGUGGGUCCAGCACAGUAGCUAUCUUCAGCCACUGAUAGUUAAGCGUUGCUACAUGUUGGGAUAGGUCCUUUGUGAAGUCAGUCUUAAAUCUCACCAUGUAGUAAUGGAAGUGGUGGUUCAAGCUCCACCAAGUGUAUUGGAUGUGCGUGGGUGUUUGAUUCUUAUUAGUUGUUUGGGAUAAGUUUCUUGAGGGCUGGAAUGAUGUCUUGGAAAAUGUGCAACAAGACUGACCAAACAAACAAGCAACCUCAUGGUGCCUUCCAGAAAAUGGGACAUUAAAUGACUAUGGAUAAAAUGGCGUCUAGACUACUAUGUGAAUUUCAUAAACUGUUGUUGUUUUCUGUGACUGAGAAGACCUAAAUAAACAUAUUUUGACCUCUAAGAUCAUUCCAUCA